rnacentral:rRNA from 1 species
AAAUGCACAGGCUGUGAACUCGAUGAGUAGGGCGGGACACGUGACAUCCUGUCUGAAUAUGGGGGGACCAUCCUCCAAGGCUAAAUACUCCUGACUGACCGAUAGUGAACCAGUACCGUGAGGGAAAGGCGAAAAGAACCCCGGCGAGGGGAGUGAAAUAGAACCUGAAACCGUGUACGUACAAGCAGUGGGAGCACCUUCGUGGUGUGACUGCGUACCUUUUGUAUAAUGGGUCAGCGACUUAUAUUUUGUAGCAAGGUUAACCGAAUAGGGGAGCCGUAGGGAAACCGAGUCUUAACUGGGCGUCUAGUUGCAAGGUAUAGACCCGAAACCCGGUGAUCUAGCCAUGGGCAGGUUGAAGGUUGGGUAACACUAACUGGAGGACCGAACCGACUAAUGUUGAAAAAUUAGCGGAUGACUUGUGGCUGGGGGUGAAAGGCCAAUCAAACCGGGAGAUAGCUGGUUCUCCCCGAAAGCUAUUUAGGUAGCGCCUCGUGAACUCAUCUUCGGGGGUAGAGCACUGUUUCGGCUAGGGGGCCAUCCCGGCUUACCAAACCGAUGCAAACUCCGAAUACCGAAGAAUGUUAUCACGGGAGACACACGGCGGGUGCUAACGUCCGUCGUGAAGAGGGAAACAACCCAGACCGCCAGCUAAGGUCCCAAAGUCAUGGUUAAGUGGGAAACGAUGUGGGAAGGCACAGACAGCCAGGAUGUUGGCUUAGAAGCAGCCAUCAUUUAAAGAAAGCGUAAUAGCUCACUGGUCGAGUCGGCCUGCGCGGAAGAUGUAACGGGGCUAAACCAUGCACCGAAGCUGCGGCAGCGACACUUAGGUGUUGUUGGGUAGGGGAGCGUUCUGUAAGCCGUUGAAGGUGACCUGUGAGGGUUGCUGGAGGUAUCAGAAGUGCGAAUGCUGACAUAAGUAACGAUAAUGCGGGUGAAAAACCCGCACGCCGGAAGACCAAGGGUUCCUGUCCAACGUUAAUCGGGGCAGGGUGAGUCGACCCCUAAGGCGAGGCUGAAAAGCGUAGUCGAUGGGAAACAGGUUAAUAUUCCUGUACUUGGUGUUACUGCGAAGGGGGGACGGAGAAGGCUAGGCUGGCCGGGCGACGGUUGUCCCGGUUUAAGCGUGUAGGGGGAGUGACCAGGUAAAUCCGGUUGCUUAUCAACCCUGAGGCGUGAUGACGAUGCACCACGGUGCAGAAGCAGUUGAUGCCAUGCUUCCAGGAAAAGCCUCUAAGCAUCAGGUAACAUUAAAUCGUACCCCAAACCGACACAGGUGGUCAGGUAGAGAAUACUCAGGCGCUUGAGAGAACUCGGGUGAAGGAACUAGGCAAAAUGGUGCCGUAACUUCGGGAGAAGGCACGCUGGCGUUAGGUGAAAGGACUAGCUCCUGGAGCUGAAGCCAGUCGCAGAUACCAGCUGGCUGCAACUGUUUAAUAAAAACACAGCACUGUGCAAACACGAAAGUGGACGUAUACGGUGUGACGCCUGCCCGGUGCUGGAAGGUUAAUUGAUGGGGUCAGCCGCAAGGCGAAGCUCUUGAUCGAAGCCCCAGUAAACGGCGGCCGUAACUAUAACGGUCCUAAGGUAGCGAAAUUCCUUGUCGGGUAAGUUCCGACCUGCACGAAUGGCGUAAUGAUGGCCAGGCUGUCUCCACCCGAGACUCAGUGAAAUUGAACUCGCUGUGAAGAUGCAGUGUACCCGCGGCAAGACGGAAAGACCCCGUGAACCUUUACUAUAGCUUGACACUGAACAUUGAGCCUUGAUGUGUAGGAUAGGUGGGAGGCCUUGAAGUGUGGACGCCAGUCUGCAUGGAGCCAACCUUGAAAUACCACCCUUUAAUGUUUGAUGUUCUAACUCGGCCCCAUGAUCUGGGGUGAGGACAGUGUCUGGUGGGUAGUUUGACUGGGGCGGUCUCCUCCCAAAGAGUAACGGAGGAGCACGAAGGUUAGCUAAUCACGGUCGGACAUCGUGAGGUUAGUGCAAAGGCAUAAGCUAGCUUGACUGCGAGAGUGACGGCUCGAGCAGGUACGAAAGUAGGUCUUAGUGAUCCGGUGGUUCUGAAUGGAAGGGCCAUCGCUCAACGGAUAAAAGGUACUCCGGGGAUAACAGGCUGAUACCGCCCAAGAGUUCAUAUCGACGGCGGUGUUUGGCACCUCGAUGUCGGCUCAUCACAUCCUGGGGCUGAAGUAGGUCCCAAGGGUAUGGCUGUUCGCCAUUUAAAGUGGUACGCGAGCUGGGUUUAGAACGUCGUGAGACAGUUCGGUCCCUAUCUGCCGUGGGCGUUGGAAGAUUGAGAGGGGCUGCUCCUAGUACGAGAGGACCGGAGUGGACGAAUCACUGGUGUUCGGGUUGUCAUGCCAAUGGCAUUGCCCGGUAGCUAAAUUCGGAAGAGAUAACCGCUGAAAGCAUCUAAGCGGGAAACUUGCCUCGAGAUGAGUCUUCCCUGGGGCUUAAAGCCCCCUGAAGGAACGUUAAAGACUAUGACGUUGAUAGGCUGGGUGUGUAAGUGCAGCGAUGUAUUGAGCUAACCAGUACUAAUGAUCCGUGAGGCUUAACCUUACAACACCGAAGGUGUUU